rnacentral:rRNA from 1 species
UACGUAGGAUGCAAGCGUUGUCCGGAAUUAUUGGGCGUAAAGGGCGCGUAGGCGGUGUCGCAAGUCCGUGGUGAAAUCUCUAGGCUCAACUUAGAGACUGCCGCGGAAACUGCGGUGCUUGAGUGUGGGAGAGGUGCGUGGAAUUCCCGGUGUAGCGGUGAAAUGCGUAGAUAUCAGGAGGAACACCGAUGGCGAAGGCAGGUCUCUGGGCUGACACUGACGCUCAUGCACGAAAGCGUGGGGAGCAAACAGG